GCGCCCGUAGCUCAGCAGGAUAGAGCAACCGCCUCCUAAGCGGUAGGUCAUCGGUUCGAUUCCGAUCGGACGCA
rnacentral:tRNA from 1 species